rnacentral:rRNA from 1 species
GGUACGCGAGUUGGGUUCAGAACGUCGUAAGACAGUUCGGUCCUUAUCCUCCGCAGGCGCAGGAUAUUUGAUGGGAUCAUUCCUUAGUACGAGAGGACCGGGAAUGACUUACCUCUGGUGUUCCGAUUGUGGCGUCAGCUGCAUUGUCGGGUAGCUAUGUAGGGAACGGAUAAGCGCUGAAAGCAUCUAAGCGCCAAGCCCACCCAAAGACGAGAUAUCCCUGUCCGCAAGGACCUGAAGGGCGGUCGAAGACUACGACCUUGAUAGGAUGGCGGUGUAAGCACAGCAAUGUGUUCAGCUUACCAUUACUAAUCGCCCGUGAGGCUUAACCAC